UAGUCCUUGCUGACCCACUGGUUACGCUUGUUCUUUCGCAGGUUGCGAAGCUCACGGCUCGCCUUGAUGGCUUCUUUACGUUCGGAACGGGCGCCGGAUUUGUCAGUACGCAUGAUAUAUCUCCUCAGAGUGAAAGGUUAGGCUGCGAACUCAUCGCAACGAUACACAUUGAUCGGGCGGCCAGCUUUCCCCGCUUCCCUCUGCUGCUGGCGAAUGGUCGGGAUUUGCACGCCUUGCAGUUUCCAGUGCUUGAGGGCGUUGUUCACAUCACUAGGGGUGGCCAGGUGGUGGACGUAGGGGAUGAUAUCGUACACUGUGAACUCCUCGCCGAGCCGAGCUUUGAUCCACUCCCGGACGAUGAUCCGAACGGUAGGGGUGUCGGGCUUGAGCGCCUUGCUGGUGGACUCUACCACUACCUUGACGGGAGCGUUAUUGACAGCCUCUUGCAUGGCAGCCAUGACGCCUGGCUUGUCCCAGCGGCGUUGGGAAUUCUUGAAACGUUGUGCAAUCUCUUCGAACUUGACCAUGUUGUGUUACCCUCAGUGCGUUGGUGUUGGGGCCAGUUUAUGAGUUUCCUGGCCCCUUGUCAACCCUUAUUCUUCCUCUUCUUCAACCGCUUCCCAAUCGAUGGGGUCGAUGAAGAAUUCGAUACAAUCGUCGUCUUCGUCUCGCAGCGCCUCCUCCAACUCCUCGGUCAAUUGAGACUCAUACUCCCCGCAUGCGCAACGGAAAGCUAUGGGGUCCAUUUUUAGCAGCACUUGGCCGGCAGAGAAAGAGAUGUUGGCUAUCUUAACCCCUUCGUGGAUGGAAUCCAACUCUUCCACGAACUCCUCUUCGGACAAGUCCACCUCGCCCAGGGUGACAUCGUAGUUUCGGAAUGUUGCCACAUUCUCGGCAUUCCAGGGAGAAUCUACGCCCAUAUCUUUGAAAGCUUGAACAGCUUCCUUGAUCAUGCCUUGACGUGCCAGUUCUUUAGGGUCGAGAGUGGUCAUGCUGAUAUCCUUUUAGGAGGAGGGGGACCGUCCCCCUCUGUGAUGCCUAUUCUACAGACACGAGAUGCCGUGUCAACACUUUAUUUCAGGAUUCGGGUUUCUUCGAACAACUUCACCGUGGCCAGGCGCUGUUUUUCCAGGCGGGCAGCCAGUGCGGUUAGGCUGUCACCGUCUUUGCCAUAGACAGAGGAGUUCAGCAUCACUACUGUGAACUGCGGGAAGUUUUCGGACUGGUACAGGCGAUCCAUGGUGAUUCGGAAAGUGACAUCCUUAUUCAGCACGCGAUCUUCGAUAGUGCCACCUGCUGCCUCCUCCAGGGCUUGCUGAACGCUGCGACCGUUAAUGUGCGUACUGGCCAGCACUUUGCCCUUAACGAUCAUUUUAACCUCGCCCGCCAGGCGGUCCCCGUACACCUGGCCCAGCUCGAUAGCACCUGUAGCGGUAUGGAUGAUGUUCAUUUUGGGAACGUAGUUGUCUGCCAGGUCCUUGGCAUGCGCCAUCUCCAGGCUGACCGCUUGAGCUUUCAGUGCAGGAGGGAGGGCAACGGCCUUGCCGAUCAUGGCGCCAGCAGCCAGGGACAGGGGAGUGGUCAGAACGAAAGCCA
rnacentral:antisense_RNA from 1 species